rnacentral:lncRNA from 1 species
AAACAGUCUUGCUCUGUUGCCAGGCUGGAGUACAGUGGCACGAUCUUGGCUCACUGCAAUCUCCACCUCCCAGGUUCAAGCGAUUCUCCUGCCUCAGACUCCUGAAUAGCUGGGACUACAGGCAUGUGCCACCACAUCCGGCUAAUUUUUUGUAUUUUUUUAGUAGAGAUGUGGUUUCACCAUGUUGGCCAGGAUGGUCUCAAUCUCCUGACCUCAUGAUCCACCCGCCUUGGCCUCCCAAAGUGCUGGGAUUGCAGGCAUGAGCCACUGUGCCCGGCCUGCAAAUUCUUUUAAAGUACACUUUUAUAGUUGUAUAAUGCCAGUGUAGACUAACCUCUGUAACAACCAACCUUCAAAUGUCAAUGUCUUAAUAUCUUACUUUCGUAUCAAAAUACAAAGUGAGUCAGCAGGGAGACUGUUCCAGUGUCAUUCAGGGACCCUGACUUCUUCCAUCCUGUGGUUCUACCUUACCCUGGGUACUCUUCACUCAACUUAUGGAUGGGCAAAGGGAAGCGUUCAUCUGAGGUGGUCGUGUGAGUCUGUGUGAGCCUGCAAGCACUGCCCAUCUCUUACACCCACACCCCAUUGGCCAGAACUCUGUUCUCUGAUAAACAGUGGCAUCGUUGUUGUGCUUGACCACAAGAAAAGGAAUUGUGUGUCCAGGAAAGAGAGAAGAUGCAUGUAGCUGAGGAGUGGCAGUUUCGGCUGUAAAUAUA